GCGCGCAAAUUACCCAAUCCCGACACGGGGAGGUAGUGACAAUAAAUAACAAUGCAGGGCCCUUUUGGGUCUUGUAAUUGGAAUGAGUACAAUUUAAAUCCCUUAACGAGGAACGAUUGGAGGGCAAGUCUGGUGCCAA
rnacentral:rRNA from 1 species